UAAGGAAUAUUGGUCAAUGGAGGCAACUCUGAACCAGCCAUGCCGCGUGCAGGAUGACGGCCCUAUGGGUUGUAAACUGCUUUUGUACCAGAGAAAACCUACUCACGUGUGAGUAGCUGAUAGUAUGGUAAGAAUAAGCAUCGGCUAACUUCGUGCCAGCAGCCGCGGUAAGACGAAGGAUGCAAGCGUUAUCCGGAUUCAUUGGGUUUAAAGGGUGCGUAGGCGGACUUGUAAGUCAGUGGUGAAAUCUCUUCGCUUAACGAAGAAACUGCCAUUGAUACUGCAGGUCUAGAGUAUAGAUGACGUUGGCGGAAUAUGACAUGUAGUGGUGAAAUACUUAGAUAUGUCAUAGAACACCGAUUGCGAAGGCAGCUAACGAAACUAUAACUGACGCUGAGGC
rnacentral:rRNA from 1 species